rnacentral:rRNA from 1 species
UACGUAGGGCGCAAGCGUUGUCCGGAAUUAUUGGGCGUAAAGAGCUCGUAAGCGGUUCGUCGCGUCGGCUGUGAAAACCUGAGGCUCAACCUCAGGCCUGCAGUCGAUACGGGCGGACUUGAGUACUGCAGGGGAGACUGGAAUUCCUGGUGUAGCGGUGAAAUGCGCAGAUAUCAGGAGGAACACCGGUGGCGAAGGCGGGUCUCUGGGCAGUAACUGACGCUGAGGAGCGAAAGCGUGGGGAGCGAACAGG